AAUCGGUCCAAUUCUCGGCCGGGAAGUCUCUGGCCGGGACGGGGCAGGGCGAACCUGCCAGUGACUGGACUCAGCUUCUUUGCGUAACCAAUACUGGAAGGCAUUUAAAGGCACCUCUGCCGCCACAGACCUUGCAGUUAACUCCGCCCUGACCCACCCUUCCCGAUGCAGUCCCUGAUGCAGGCUCCCCUCCUGAUCGCCCUGGGCUUGCUUCUCGCGGCCCCUGCGCAAGCCCACCUGAAAAAGGUCCCUUUUCCUCUGUUUUGUGUUUGCCAAGGCCAAACUCCCACUCUCUGCCCCCCUUUAAUCCCCUUUCUACAGUGAGUCCACUACCCUCACUGAAAAUCAUUUUGUACCACUUACAUUUUAGGCUGGGGCAAGCAGCCCUGACCUAAGGGAGAAUGAGUUGGACAGUUCUUGAUAGCCCAGGGCAUCUGCUGGGCUGACCACGUUACUCAUCCCCGUUAACAUUCUCUCUAAAGAGCCUCGUUCAUUUCCAAAGCAGUUAAGGAAUGGGAACCAGAGUGUUUUAGGACCUGAAGAAUCUUUAUGACUCUCUCUCUUUCACUCUUUUUUUUUUUUGUCACUAAGUUAAAAGCGAAGUGAGAGUAUUAACGUUUUUGUUCUCCUCCGGCCCCCUGUUACAAUGAAGGGGCAAAAGUAUUUGCUCUUAGUCUAUUCCUCCCUUAACUUCUGUGACUAAUUUUUAUUUCCUUUCUAGAUUUGCCCAAUUAAUACUAGGGUGCAGUGUAUCCUGGAGAGGUAGGGUGUGUGGGGGAGGAAUCCCUUGGGGGAGAUAUUAGGAGUGCUCUGUUGUUUACAAACUCAGGUACCCGCAGGGCCUAGCAAGAGACUUAAAUGACUGAUAAGAACCGUGAGAAACAUGUUGCUUCCAGGCUUGAUUUCGAUUUUUCGCUUUUUUUUUUUUUGAGACAGAAUCUCACUUUGUCACCAGGCUGGAGUGCAGUGGUGCAAUCUCACCUCACUGCAACCUCCGCCUCCUGGGUUCAAGCAAUUCUCCUGCCUCAGCCUCCCAAGUAGCUUGGACUACAGGCCCUGCCACCACGCCCGGCUAAUUUGUGUAUUUUUAGGAGCUGGAGAAGCUCGACAUCCUGCAGUGGGUGAGACAGUUGUGCACAGUGAAGAAUUGUCUCACCUCCUGCAUGGCUUUCCAAUAAACAGAUGAUCUGAGCUUGGAACGAACUCCCCUUUACAAACAUCAACAAAGUGGUUUGGAGGUUGCAGUGAGCCAAGAUCGCGCCAUUGCACUCCAGCCUGGGCAACAAGAGUGAAACUC
rnacentral:lncRNA from 1 species